CGCAGAGACGUCCGGAAGUCCAGAUGUAGGGAACGUCGUCUGUAGAAAAUAUAAUCCAUUUACGCGUUAGGACAAGGAACAUUCGAAGAAACGUUAUUUUUCAAAUUAGCUUUGCUCCACGAGGGACUGCGGAAGAAUUAAUCCUGUUUGGUGCACAGUAUUUCGACACCGGUUUAAAAUAUUUUAGGAAAGGAUCCACGAAUUUCGUGAAAUGGUCAAAAGAGGUGUGAAAGCAAAUAGUUAAGAACCACUGACAUCGUAGGUUAGUAUGGCGGCGUACCAUCGAUCGAAUAAAAAACGAUUCGGUAUGAAAUGGUACCUAAUUAUCAGAUAUCGAUGCUAUUGAUACUGUAUUAUUCCCACAGCUGGGCUGAAAUUUAUUUAACCCUGUCGUAACUGGCUUAGAAAGUUGUACAAUCGCCGAGACCGAACCGUCAACGACGGCACAGAAGCAACUCGGCUUCGUGAGCAAUUUAUUAUACUACUUAGUGUAACUUUCAUUCUCGCCAGCCAGAUGAUAGUUCAGAAAUUUCGAAACAAACGAUUCCGUCGACACGAAGUGAUGCUUCAACUUCGCUCUCGGUAAUUUAUAACGUCGUACCUCUACCCACGAUAUUUCGUCACGAACGUGAGAAAAUGAAAUGAUAAUAUUUAAUAAAAGUAAAGCAUGCCAGUAAGUUUCAUCACUGGUAUAGGAAAUACAGUUAAAAUUCUAGGAAAUGAUACUAGAUGGCGAUUAGCGCAAAACCGUUUCUCACAGGUAUUUAGAAGGAACUUGUUAAACAGCAAACGUUAAUUUUUAUUGAAUAGCAUAUUUCGAAUUGUUUACUGGAACUUUUUUCGUAAGUUGUAUUUGAACUUCCAAUUCGUUUCUGAAUUUUUAUGCUUGCAUACGUUUAUUGUAAUAUAAAAUUUGUUCAUUUAUUUUAUUUUAUAGUUCUUUGUAGCAAUUCUGUUUGAAUGUCAAUGGGUGAAGAUAUUUAAACUUUGCUUCUAUUUCUUUAAGAACAAAGUACGAUUUUUGUUCGUCGUUCAGGCUUCAGAAUUUCUAAGCUGGUGAGUUAACAAGAGAUUCCUCAAGGUGAGACGCAGGAUCAUUAAGUAGGUUGAAGCUGAGGAGGAAUUUAAUUUUUUUUUAUAUAUACAUAGUUGCAUCACGGAACGCAUCAAUCUUCCAAGAGCGUGUAUAAGGCCACGUAAAAACGUAAGCAACAUGCAGAACGAAGAUUCAAAGCCUAGGUAGACGCGUUGAAUGUCCCUUUUCGUUACAAAGUUCCGGAGAUUUCGGCU